UGUGUUUCUUAAAAUAGGUCUAGCCACACUGAAUGAAAAAUAUCGAACCCGUCUCCUUCCCUUAACCUGGCGUCUUCAAUUCCUAGAGAAUUUCUACCUGUAUGCUUCAAUUUUCAAUGAUCUGAGACAGUCAUUUUGUAGAAAUCAUUAUAGGAGUACACCAUGUUAAAAUUCAUGUCAAUUGGAUUCAGAUUGAUACUUGAUCUUGAUGUAUUUCUGUCUAUAUUUGUUUCUUAAAAUAGGUUCAGAUACACUGAAUGAAAACCAUCAAACCCGUUUCCCUGUCAUAUUCAACGCUGUCGUAUGGAUAUCGCGAUCUUCACAACAUUAGCGCCAUCUUCUUCCACACGAGGAACUGGUAACUCUCUCCUUUCCCAAUAUUUUAAUUACACUAGUUUUCAAUUUCGAUUACUAUGUUCAGUCCUUUGUCCAAUUUUUGGAUUCGAUAGUAUUUAUCAAGGAACUAUUUCCGCUCCAAUUACGUACUCAAGAAGAAACGGGUUUCCUCUAAUUUUGGUUGCGAAUUCUCACCCCAGUCUCCCUUUAAUUUCUUAAGAUUGUUUUAGAUUUUCGCCUUUUCGUUUUCUGUUUCAUUGAAUGUUAGUGGGUCUUUACGGUUAAAAGAUACUACUUACUGCGGUGUUCCUGAAGUUCAAUUUUUGUUCUAAUAUAAAGAUAAUUAUGAUAAUUAUUUGAGUUACAACCAAUCAAUGACUGGGUUUGAUAAUUUUCUUUGGUAAGCAAUAUAAAGAUCAAUUCUUGUUUCGAUAUAUAUUGCAAUGGGUUCGCUGAUAUUGAUUUGGUAAUUUGUGCUCUUAUGCAUUGUUCUCCAGCUUGAGACAUCCCUUGCUUGGUGGAGUAUAUAAGAGCAUGAUUGUUGUGCCAAAUCUCAGUUUGGCCUCAAUUCAAACAUGCACUACCGGAAAAAAUUCACAGAGAUUGUAUAAAUCUAGUCCCUUUAGUGUCUCGUUGCAAUGUAGUCGAGUCUCAAAUUUCAAAGAAUGGGAGGCCACUUCGAUAAGCUGUAGACAGAAAAGAAGGUGUGACCGCUAUGACAUGCACAAUGUGCUAGUUCCUUAAUCUGAAGCAUGGUCUUGGCAGAAGUCCAUAGUUAAGGAGAGGAAGGCAUUAGUCGAAAUAAACCAAGACCUUUCUGACUCCGUGAUUGUUUUACAACACCACCCGGUUUAUACGUUGGGUACUGGUCAGAAGACUACUUGAAUUUUGAUUUAACGCUCCUUAUGAUGUUUACUGAACGGAACGCGGUGGUGAAGUUACGUACCAUGGGCCUGGUCAGAUAUGCAGACUUCCUGCUUAAGAAUACCAUGGGAAAAAACUGGAUGAUCAGAUAUAAGAAGUGCAACAUUACAAACGGUGUUGGUGUUGCAGCAUCAACUCCCCAUGAAGGGCUUUGACAAAGUAUAUUCAUCUCAACUGACUCCAGAAAAUCCCUGGAUACAUGGACACGUAUCCCAGCGGGCCAGCGUCAACAUGUCCAGAACCUGAUAUUGGGGUGAUUGCAUGCUGCGCAUUUAGUUGCUCUGCAAUUUCCCUUGUUGGGGCUGAAACAAGGUCUUGAGUUUCUUUCCACUGCCGGCACUUUCUGGGGUUAGAGUUGAAUGGACAUCCUCAGUUUCAAAAACACAUUGUAAUCAAGAACAAGAUUAACAGCUCCUUCUCUGUAAAUCCAAUUGCUCUCAUCUUUUUGCUCUUAAAAUCACCUCCAUCCAUGCCAAAGCUCAAUUUGGUAGUCCAAUAAGAUGAUUGAGUUUUAUGAUCGUAA